GUAUGAGUUCCUUGGAACACAACGUCACAGAGGGUGAGAAUCCCGUUCGUGGCACGCCUCCACAUCCGUGGGGAUACCCUUUGGAUGAGUCGGAGUUGUUUGGGAAAUGCAGGUUAAAAAGGGAUGUUAAAUUCCUUCUAAAGUUAAAUAUGGGCGGGAGCCGAUUAGCCACCAAGUGCCGUGAGGGAAAGAGGAAAACCACUUGGGAAAGGGAGUUAAAAGUACGUGAAAUUGUUGAAAGGGAAACGAUUGAAGUCAGACGUGCGCGGUCGUGAUCACCCGGGCAUUCCAGCAUCGCACUUGCAAGUGGGAUAAACGGUCUAGAAAGGUAGCAGUCUCCAAAGGGUUAUAGUAUCUUACUCCUUUCGGAGAGCGAGAUCGAGGGAGGCAGCGCGCCGAAAGCCAAGGGGUUGGCCCGUUUUUCGCUUAGGAUGCUGGUGAAAUGGCUGUAAACGACCCGUCUUGAAACACGGACCAAGGAGUCUAACAUGUAUGCGAGUGUUUGGGUGUCAAACCCAUGCGCGUAAUGAAAGUGAACGGAGGUGGGAUCCUUUAAGGGAGCACCAUCGACCGAUCCAGAUGUUUUCGGAUGGAUUUGAGUAAGAGCAUAUAUGUUGGGACCCGAAAGAUGGUGAACUAUGCCUGAAUAGGGUGAAGCCAGAGGAAACUCUGGUGGAGGCUCGCAGCGGUUCUGACGUGCAAAUCGAUCGUCAAAUUUGGGUAUA
rnacentral:rRNA from 1 species